rnacentral:rRNA from 1 species
AAGUCGUAACAAGGUCUCCGUAGGUGAGUUUACGAGAAAUCCUUUUACGAAGUGAGAGAAUAUACGCUAACAGGUUUCAAAGGUGAACCUGCGGAGGGAUCAUUACAGAGUGAAGACUUUCAAAUAUGAAGUCGAUCUCCAAACCUAUGUCUUCCAAUACUGUUCGUCGGCGGUUAUCGGCCCUUGGGGGGACGCCCCCUUGGAAUGAGCUGUCGACAUUCUUUUUAAACGCUGUUUUUGCAAUACUGCAGUCUGAAUUCAAGUUGGGAAAAUCAUUAAACAAAACUUUCAACAACGGAUCUCUUGGUUUUGGCAUCGAUGAAGAACGCAGCGAAAUGCGAUAAGUAAUGUGAAUUGCAGACUCAGUGAAUCAUCGAAUCUUUGAACGCACAUUGCGCCCUCUGGUAUUCCGGAGGGCAUGCUCGUUCGAGCGUCAUUACACCUCUCAAGCCUCGCUUGGUAUUGGAAGAAGUGGAAUUCACCAGCCACUCUUCUUGAAUCGACCGGCCAUUAUCUUCAAUCUCUGGCGUUGUGCAAACAAAAUCGCUUGUAGCUCUUGAAAUAUUGACUGCCGUUAAGCCUUUUUAUUAUCAAAGGUUGACCUCGAAUCGAGUAGGGAUACCCGCUGAACUUAA